UCAAAUUUUUCAUUACCCUGA
rnacentral:piRNA from 1 species